rnacentral:tRNA from 1 species
AUCUAGUAAGGUCAGCUAAUUAAGCUUUCGGGCCCAUACCCCGAAUAUGUUGGUUAAAAUCCUUCCCUUACUA